rnacentral:rRNA from 1 species
UACGUAGGGUGCGAGCGUUGUCCGGAAUUAUUGGGCGUAAAGGGCUCGUAGGCGGUUUGUCGCGUCGGGAGUGAAAACACCGGGCUUAACCUGGGAAUGGCCAUGGAAACUGGCGAACUGGAGUGUGGCAGAGGGGGGUGGAAUUCCGCGUGUAGCAGUGAAAUGCGUAGAGAUGCGGAGGAACACCGAUGGCGAAGGCAGCCCCCUGGGCUAACACUGACGCUCAUGCACGAAAGCGUGGGGAGCAAACAGG